UACGUAGGUGGCGAGCGUUGUCCGGAUUUACUGGGCGUAAGGAGCGCGCAGGCGGUCGUUCAAGUCGCGUGUGAAAGCCCCCGGCUCAACUGGGGAGGGUCACGCGAUACUGAUCGACUCGAAGGCAGGAGAGGGAAGUGGAAUUCCCGGUGUAGUGGUGAAAUGCGUAGAUAUCGGGAGGAACACCAGUGGCGAAGGCGACUUCCUGGCCUGUUCUUGACGCUGAGGCGCGAAAGCUAGGGGAGCAAACGGG
rnacentral:rRNA from 1 species